ACCAGGUUGGCCGAGUGGUUUAAGGCGCCAGACUUAAGAUCUGGUCUCCGAUUGGAGGCGUGGGUUCGAACCCCACACGUGGUA
rnacentral:tRNA from 1 species